GGGGUGGUGGCGGCGGCCUCGGGUUGGUGGCGGACCGCGUUCACUCCCUUGCACGGCGGCCCCGGGAUCCGGCCCUAACGACCUGGCAAGGCAGCUCAUCUCGCAGUGAGGUCCCGAGGGACCGAGCCUUUCCACUUGGCUUUUUCGCUUUGGCCGUCUAAUAAGUGAAUGCCGUGAGUGGGCAAAUAAAACGAGGACAGAACGCUGCCAUCCCCUGUGCGUGCCCUCUGGCUCGACGCUGGCCUGAAGCAGUUCUUGAGGCAGCGGAGUCCUGCUGCACAGAGAGGUGAGGCCAGCUACCAUCCUGAUGGAAGAAGAUUCUCUGUGUAGCCUGGGUUGAACUGCAUUUCUUCACCAGAUUUAAGAAUAUCUGCUCUGUGACAUGCUGCCUGGCCUCGGAGGGCUAUUUUGUGUUAGCCUUUCUGUCCAGGAGGAAGAGGGAGGACUUACAGGCAGGUGUGUGUCCUGCAGAAUUGGGGAACAACCGUAAAAUAGUUUUUGAGGGUCAAAAUUGUCCUUGAGGAUUCCGUUACUGAGAAAUAACAUGUCUGUAUCUAAUGAAGAAUUCAGCCAAGAAAACUCUGGGAUACAAAUACCCAGGCAGGCCAUGUGUCUAAAGGAGCAGAAACUGGUUCUGGAAAUGGAAAUUGUUGAAUUUCUUUCUGAAAGCCUUGUAUGUGUCCAUUACUUAUUUGAAUCACAAUCAAUCCUUUUAAAAACAAAUAGGUUCCUGAAGAAUAUUUUAAUUCCAUGAUUUUUAUUUUCUUAAAAGAGAAACGUUAAUGGACCAAUGAAGAGCAGUUGCCUUGGGCAGUUGCAUUUUUCACUGUGAAUUAUACACUGACAUUUUGGUUUUUAUAUUCCUCCUAAUGAACAUUUCAGUCUUGUAACAUCAUCUCUUUUGGUCCUGGAACACAAAAGCCAGACCCCAUGUAGAGGAAAUUCAAGGCAGGUAGUGGGGGAACCACCCCAGUGUGGGUGAACAGAUUAAGAUACUUGGGACUAGGAUAAUAUAGGUUAAUUUUAUUAAGGAGAGGAGUCAACAUGAGAAACAGAAAACCCAUAAGGUCCAUUACCUGGCUGGAACCAGGAGAGAGCAAGUCUGUCCUGGAUCCCAGACCAAAUCCCACAUGCUCACGUAGGCACCUGUGACCAAACGGGCUUAUAGUCAGGCUUUCCAACACCUCAACUCUGCAACACUGCCGGUGCUCUUUUCUGUAGAAAGAAAUCUGCAUAUAUGAACCAAAAACAUUGUGAAGAUUCAAGGACCUUUGUGACAGUUUCAUCUUGACUAGUUAAAACUGGAAUAUAGAAAAGGAUGGAGCAAAGAUGACUGCAUUCACCUUUAUGGAAGGAACGUGGGGUGAAGAGGCAGAAAUGGAAACCAACCAGUUGGGGAGACUGUAGUGAGUGGAUCAACCAUUGAGAAGGACUCUAUCCAGGUGACCACUCCUGUGAGGGUGUGCUGGGCUCCAGUGCAGCCUCGGAGAAGAAUGCAGCUGUGCACACUAACCAGCACCAACCCCUGCAUGACCUGCAAGCCUCCCAACAACACUAUGAACUCAGGAAACUAAAACAAGCUAGGCACCGAAAGGCCGCCCACUCCACAAGUGCUGAAUUUGUGCAAGUGAACAUCCUGUCCAGUCUCAUGGGACCAAUCAACCACGGACAGAGCCUCGGAAUCUACAAGCCCAAGCCAGCAAGUCUUUCUUCAUGUGGUUUACGUCAAGUCUUUGCCACAUCAGCACAAAGACUAAAGCAAUAGGUUCAGUCUACACCCUGGGGUAGUGGAUUGCACAUGGGUGUGACAGGGUGGGGUCAAUGAGAGCCAUGACUAGGGUUGCUUGGAUAUGGCUCUCCUUGUAUUUACGCUGCUUGGUGUUUGUUGAUUCAGCAAUUAAUGCUUUUCACAAAAUUUGGGAACAUUUGUUGCUAUAAAUUCCUCAUGUAUUUUUUUCUACUCCAUUUCUCCUCUUAACUUUUAUGCUUCUAGUUUCCUGUUUGCCUAUCCUUUUCAUAUUAUCCCUUAGCACCUAAGCCCUUAUUAACUUCUAAAAUAUAUUUCUACUUGUUCUUUGAGGAGUUCAUACAUGCAUACAAUGUAUUCUAUCAUAUUCACCCCUUUCCAGAACUCUACCUCCUGGGUCCACCUCCGCAUGCCCCUCUUCCAACUUUAUUCCUGUAAUUUUGGUUUGUUUCAGUAACCUAUUGAGUCCACUAGCACUGCCCAUGUAUGCAUUGGUGUGGGGCCAUCCCUGAGUGUGGUAAAUCUACCAGGACCACACCCUAAAGAAAACUAAGCCUUCCUUCCCUAGCAGCCAUUAGCGCCUGUCACUAGCUUCUCACCUAGAGGUGGGGGCUCCUGUGCCCCCUCCCAGUCAAUGCUUGUGUGUUGACUGGCACGAUCUUGUACAGGGCCUGUGUGGCCACCUCAGCUGCCCUAAACUAUGAGUGUGAUUUUACUCCGUUCCUCACUCACCUAUGGGUUUUAGAAUAGAUUAAUAUUUUUUAAACUUCUUAACUUUUACAUAUUUAUUUAUAUUCUCAUUAUGUGUCUGUGGGUGAGUGCGCAUGAGCUGCAGGCACCUGAGAAAGUGAGGAGAAGGCAUCACACUCCUUGGAGGUGAGCUGCUAACAUGUUCUUAACUGCUGAGCCAUCUCUCCAGCUCCCAUUUGUUAUAGACUGAAUAGUUUCUACUAUUCUAACUUGAAGUUCACUGACUUUUUAAACCUUUGUUCUGCAGUAAAACCUGUCUACUGAA